GGUACGGACACAUUAGCAGCCUGUCAGUCUGACCUUACAUCUACAACCACGCUCAGCUAUAAACCAAAAGAAGGCAUUUUACCGUGAUAUACUGGCAGCGGACUCAAAUUUCAUAUGCUUGAUGCAGGUCACCUCAGCGCAGUACAAAGCUGAAACUCCAUGACACACAGCACAAAGCUCUCAUAGCCCCAGGACACGACCAUUUGAUUGAGUCCUUGUCAGUGCGGACAUUUAAUAUGUCAAGGGACUUGUGGGGUAUCGACCGUGGCAUCACGGGGCAUCAGGUGGGGAGCAGGGAGAAGUUGGAAUGAUCUGGAUUUGGGCUGGAGAGACAGGUUGCGCGACCAGGAUCUGGCACGGGCUGGAAGUGCAGUCAGUCAGGUGGGAUACUGUGGACUGGCACUCUAAAUACAUUUGAAGGUUGGAGACCAAAGGCACA